UACGUAGGUGGCAAGCGUUAUCCGGAUUUAUUGGGCGUAAAGCGAGCGCAGGCGGUUUGAUAAGUCUGAUGUGAAAGCCUUUGGCUUAACCAAAGAAGUGCAUCGGAAACUGUCAGACUUGAGUGCAGAAGAGGACAGUGGAACUCCAUGUGUAGCGGUGGAAUGCGUAGAUAUAUGGAAGAACACCGGUGGCGAAGGCGGCUGUCUGGUCUGCAACUGACGCUGAGGCUCGAAAGCAUGGGUAGCGAACAGG
rnacentral:rRNA from 1 species